rnacentral:piRNA from 1 species
UAUUUUCCAUUAUUGUAGGUU